GAAAAAUCCUCAAUACAGCUAUUUUAGAUUUCCCAAAGAUGAAGAUAGGUGUAACAAGUGGAAAGUAAAACUAAAAGUAGUGCAGCAGGGUUCCUAUUAUUCAGAACAAUGUUAUAAACGGUUCAGAGUCUGUAGUGCCCACUUCAAAGAGCGAUUUUUUUAAGCAUACAAAAAAUAAACUGAAAAGGAAAGCUGUUCCAACCAUAUUCGAAUAAUACAUUCCAGUGGAGAGAGUGGAGCAUCUUCUGGAGAUUGUAUGCAAACAUCAGCUGUCUUGAAAUAUGUUCCUAGUACAAGCUUUGCCAACUUUAUUUAGAGGGUAAUUUUUUGUUUUCCCUGUUUGAUUGUCAAGGCGUAUUCAAGCAAGCCAACUUAACUUAUGAAUAACUUAUCAACUUAAAAAAAUUAAUUACCAGGAUCAAAUGAGGGCAUUCAGUACAAGCUUUGCUGAACCUCAUUCUGAAGGUAUUCCUUUUUUUAAGCUCUUUUUUAAUUUGCUGUGGUUUUUGCCUGCCUGUAUUAUAAUUGUAAUAUGAGCAUUGCUCAUUUGUGGAUUAUUCUUCACCAUAUUGUUAUCUGUAUGUAAUUUUAUGCCACAUACAAGGUUUGUAACAACUAGGUCCAUUUGUUGUAUAUAAAAAUGUAAUAGUUUGUACUUAUAUUUUAAAAUGUAUUCAAGAGGUGUAUUAGUAGCAGAUACAAGUUAUAUAUUUUCG